GUGGUUGCGGGAACAAUUUCCAAACAUUCGAUUACGUGAGAAUCCCAGCUUGUGUGGCAACGAAGCGAUAACGAUCACGAACGUGUCUCGAGUUUCCAUGUCCCGAUUGACAUUGAAACGCGUACAAGGACGACGCGAUCUUUGGAAUUUCCUUGCACACGCGUUCGUGUUUCUUCGAUCGUGUUACGCGGUGUUUCGUUACGUUCGCCGCGUACAGGUUAUGUGUGCUUGUGACCGUAUCGCUGACACGAACCGGGCAAAUCGUGCACAUUUCGUUGAAAUGCAGUGCAUGAAAAAAGAUGUGAUUCAAGUAACAACAGACGUGCUAAAGUGGCACGAAAUGUUCCACGGUUAGGUGAUAAAGUUUCGAAACGUGACAGAUUACUAUUUACGGUAUCAGCCAGAAAAUCGGUGUAAAAGUAGCAUUAAAAGAUGAGUUGGAUAUCAAAUGUACUGUACUGUCUUGAUAACUGACGACUGGAUACGCAUGUAACGAGUUAGUCAGGGAGGAUUUACAUUAAAAAUUUGACGUUAAUAUAGAAUUGUGUAGAAGGAUUGACUUACACGAUGCUAGCCAAUGUGCAAUUCGAGAUAUCGAGAUUUCAAAGUCGCUAGGUUAUAUAUAUUAUAUAAUAUAUUGUAGAAACAGUCGAAUGUAGAGAUUCAGGAUAAGCAAAAUGAAAGAAAUACAAUGGCUAGAAAAAGUAUUUGUAAAUACUAUAUCUGUAUAUUAUUUUCCAAUGAAGCGUUUUUUAUCAGGUUCUAUAUUAAAUUUUCAUAGUAUCAAAUGUUUUUUGUAGUCAUACGAAAGUACUAUUACUAUAAACUUAAUGUAGUUGAACCUAAUUAAUUAGCAUGUAAACGCUAUAAUGCAGUGGUGUGUAGAUGCUUUCGCACUGUACGUAUACAUAUAACGAAAUUCCAUCUAUCCAAUUUCCACUUAUCGAAAUGAAAGUUUAGCUAGUGCUCGAUUAAAUUACUCGCUAUUGAAGAUGAAUCAAUUUAUCUGAACUUAUCUAUUAUAUAAGCGAAAAAUCAUAGGUAGUGCGGAGGGUGAGUGAACUCAAAUUACAUGAACUUUGGCUGUCAAUGAAUAUACAUGCAUACGUUCUAUUACUUUACUAUUACUACAACGCCGUUUCGCCCUAGGCAUUUCAAGGAAACGAUGGGGAUAGCGGUGGCCAGGUAACAAGGCAGAACGUAUAUUCCUAUAAUACUUAUAAUUCAAGGAACAUGUUAUAUAGCAAAAAUUGCGUAUAUUAUCCUGGGAAAGUCACGCGUAAACUUUUCACGCGAAUGGAUGUUACGUUACACGUGGCACCUGGCACUUGUUUUGCAACGUGAAAAUAUUCGCAAUAUUUAUCGCUUGGCUUAAUGGUCCUCUAUCGGGCGUUCUAUUCACGCAAAACAAAUUGCACAAAUUCUCUCUCGCAACGAACGAUGAUUUAUAGAUUCUUUAUUAGACGUUUCUCAAACAGUUUCAGAACGAAGACUUCUUUUUUAUAUCGUUUGACGUUUACGCACGAGAAACUCCAUUUAAACGCAUACACAGGUUAAAAAGCAAAGAGAACAGCGUUCGUUCGUUGUAGUUUUUUGUCGUGCCACUUCCCUCGCCUAAGUGGUUCAGCCUUGAGUAGGUAAGCCGGGUAAUUGUAAACAAAUGGGGUGAUCGACCUCGAUGUCUGAGCCUUGAGAGUCGCUCUCGGAAUUCUUGAUAUUGGGAAGCAUUGAACUGUGCGAUUCAGACGACGCGACACGCGCUAGACACGACGUGUAAUCGUCUGGCGGACGACUGAUCCGCGAUUAAUCACAUUCAACGUUUAUCGUGCAUGUUUCGUGCUCCUAUUACCGUUUCGUUCGCGUUAACGUUAAAAGGCUGACACAAUGCUCGGUUUCGUAAGUCGCGACACGGCUGUCGGAAAAAUCUCGCGGCAGGAAAGUGUAGGUUACGGGAUUGACAACGAGAAAAUCCCAGAAUUGUGUUGACACGUGUGUUUUGCUGCGAAAGCAGAGCACGAGUGUUGUCGAAUAUCUAGUUACGAAUAGGAAAUAUCAAUUUCAAACGUAUGCUUGUAGUUCAAUCUCCCUUCAAGUAUAAAGAAUUCAAAUAUUAUUUCUUUUACAUAAUAAUUAGUUUUCGUAAUCAAUCAUUUAGUUGUUAUGAAAAUGAUCUGCAAAUUAUAUUUCUGCGAUGUUUAAGUGAUUUUUUCUAAAUCGAACGAUUAAUUAGUCAACUGGUCAAUAAUGUGUUUUAUUUGAUUACAUAUGUAUAUAGAGAAAUAUUUAAAUUAUAUCUAUGGAAUUUAAUAUUAUAUCUAUGGAAUUACAUAGAAAUUCUAAACGACGAAGUUGGCAAUUAACAGGAGAAAGCCACUUGCAAAAUCCACUCCAGCGAUUUCUCUACAUAAAAACGCGUUAUCAACAGAUGUGGAUCUAUUUCCGCGAACUAUGCAGAUCGUAAGUUCCUCUAGAAAAAUUGAUGAUUUCCCUCUAUUUCACCUACAAUCGUAUAACGCAAGCGAAUCAUAAAUCUGACUUCAUCGUCGAUGUAACAAAUUCUUUGGUUACAGAAAGAACGCUUCUAUAAUGAGGAAUCUGUAUAAAUCAAACUCGUAUAAUUUCCAAAGGAAAAGCGUCUGAUCAUAAAACCAAUCCUAACAUUCAACCCUACAGUGGUUAGACAGGAAAUUCGUCCUUGGAACAGUAUUCACUUAUGAUAAGCCGGGAUCAACUUAUUCGAAGGAAUCUGUAUAAAAUCACAGGAUUCUACGAAUCCAACUUCGCUUGAGAUAUCGAUGGUCGUAAUCCGACUUAGGCUUGGUGUAGACAUAACGUCGCGUCCUGGUUGCGAUUUCGUAGUGGCGAUGCUGUACAAUUCGACACUUUCAUAUUUUUUCCACUAAAACUACAUCACUUGCAUUGAAUUUAAGAUCCCUGUGAUUUGGAAAGAUUUAUAUUUCUAUCAAUAACGCGAUGAACACUGUCGUAGAAUUCUGUUAUUGACAAGGUAAAACUAUCGAAUUACGCAGCGCAGUACCGCUGCGAAAUUGCAACGAUAUUGCGCUGUUUGCCUGCGUUAGACUUUCAGAGUCAGCCUCCUUCUUCAACGUUUCCUUGAAACGCAUCUACUGUUAAGCACUUUCGAGAAUCGCCGUUGGAAAAUUGGCUCGGUUUUUCCAUGGAUCCGGUCACCGUGGCGCCGGUAAAUAAAAGUGAAAUUGUACCGUUGGUUCGCGUGGCCUUUGUAAUUUGCGACUGUAAACUAUAACUUUCACUAGGACUUUCGUCGGUUCUGUCGAAAGAGCGGCGUCCCUCGUCCACGUUGAAAUAUACGCGAGCCAUUAUUGUCAUCCGUACGCGGGCAAAAGCGAGAGCUGUGUCGUAAUUGCUGACGAUAAAAUUUACGUUGCUGUACCUUUCGAGUAUUUACGCGUUUACCUUAUGCCUUUAGCAAGGAAAAACGUCUGAACGCAGUUAGGUUUAGAAUUCUGUAGUAAUCCGGCGAAGUUAAUGAACGAUCGGCUUAACCGUUAUGUUAUCGCCGUGGUUAAUUAAAAAAAACGCGGAAAUUGAAACACACGAGAGGUUUGCCAUCGGAGUUAUCAUAAAUUUUAACACUGAUCUUAUUCGGAUAGACUUUUCGCCUCAGAGAUUUCAGAUUCAGUCGAAAAUCAUUAAUUAGUACGCUGCGUUGGCGUGGACCGUUAAGAGAAAACGAAAUCGUUGACGGUUUAUAAUUUUGAUAGAAUCUAAUGAUAUACAACUUGAAACGAAUUACACGUCGUAAUUUUUAUUUUUCAUAGCUUCGAGUUCCUGCUGAUUUCAUACGAAAUACAUCGAUCAAUUAUCAGGAAGAGGAACAGAAACAACACUAUGCAAUAAAAGCUGGUGAAGACUGUUAUUGCACGAGUUAUGGAAAAAUAACUAAUUAGAAAUUAUUAAAAUUUGAAUAAUUGGCAAAAUUGAUACAAUAAUCAUAAAUUUAAUCUAUUUGUUGAUAAGUAUCCUAAUAUUUAUGAACGAGGAUAUAUAUGUACGAGCCCCAUGCCCCCCAAAAAAUCUUAACGCAAUUACUCUGUUAUCUUCAAAGCGUAAUAUAUUUGUUAUCGACUUCGUUUAAAAAAUCAUGUAAUCUAAAAUUCUUAAUGUACAUCAAUCACCGAAUAUCAAAAUUUCAGUAAAGUUAAAGCUCCAAAGAUAUUUGGUCGGGAGUGUGUAGAUUUAACCUAACGAUUUCUCUCUGGUCGCAAAUAAAGAAAUAACCGAGCAGUGUCAUCUCUUGUUCGUCGAAGAGCACUCGAUGAAAAUUUUGCUCGUAUCUGGAUAUACAGAUAGACCUUGUCCAGCAUCCGAGGUUCCGAAUGUCGAAAGGAAUGCUCGAUCGGACAGGCCGAUGUCUUGGGACGCGCAUACCGGUACCAACGGUCGCGUAUCCAUGGUACAGCCGCAUCAGGAGUACAACCCGAGAUAAUCGCGCGGCGAGUUCUUAAAGGACGACGUAUCUCUAUACUAAGCCAAUUUAAAUACCUUUCCGCGGUAUAGUGGCUUCUUUUCCUAGGCCUGGUUGGAAGCUCGCCUCGGCACUGUAUAAUUAUACGUGGGUUAAUAAUGACUUACGAACUGCAACCAGGCCUUCUUGUUCGUUUGUUUAGUGCCACCGAUACGUGGUUGCACCGAGGCCAGCCACGAUGUUGCAUUAAAUUGCAUCGCGCUAAUCUACCGAUCGUUCUGUCUCUUUCUCUCUCUCUCUCUCUUUCUCUGGUUCCUUAUGCACGCCGCAAUACCAGCAGAAAGAUAUUUUUUAAGCUACCACAAGAUAGGGGGAGGAAAUUUUCUCCCGCGUCACGAAUGUUACUCGAUUGUUGAUUCUACUGGUUGAACGUUUUCGUUUUCGUUGGUAAGGAAAAGGAAUUCCAUCGUGGCUGAAUCAUCGGGCUACUACGAGUCGCUGGAUUCUGUAGCUUUAGCCCGUUCUAUAGCUUUCAUACGUCUUUUACCGCUAUGAUGUUGAUUUAUCCAGCGAAUUAUUAGACACGCAUUAACCAUGUACUUUUCCCAGCUACCUAUCCAUUAUACAUCAUACAGAUAUGUUUACAUUUAAUUAGCGCGAUAUGUAAAUACGUGGUUAUCGUGGAUAACCAGUUGCUCGUGAAAUUCUGUUAGAUUCGCGCAAACGAGCAUUAACACGACCGUUAGUAACAAAUAUCACGGAUGAAUGGCAAAUCGAGCUUUUAAACGACGAUUACGUACGUCAGAGAAGGGAGUUAUUAAAGAGAGCUGGCGCUCAUUCUUUUUCUGUCGAUCCGUACAACUUCGUGGCUCAACAUCGUUGUUGCAUCUGAUGUGCCGGUACUAUCACACGCUCAAGUUUUUCUCCGAAAACGAUGCAAGUAGGACGUUAUUCUUCCUUUAUUCUUUUCUCUGGCCUGAAUUUGCUCGGCGAUGUUCGGUUCUUCGAAUGAUCUAAUAUGAACGAAUAUCUUGAGAAUAUAAAUGAGCGUAAGUUCUGCAAAAUAUACGUAUCUAGAGUGUACAAUGUGCCACUAUUCGAAGCGUACACACGUGGCUUGAAUGGAAAUUACUACGCGGACAGUGUAGCAGGAAACGUAUCGGGUCAAAGGUUAACAUUGUGUUUAACUAUUGAUGCUUUCAAGAUCGAAUUUUUUUGAGGUAAGAUUAAUUUCUUAUCAAUAAUAGGAGCACGUUUCUUCUUACAUUUUAUCGAAUGAGAUAUCCUAAUAAAAGAUGAAGCUUCGAACUUAUAAGUUACAAUUAUAAAACCCAAUUUACAAUUUUAACGUAGCAAUGCUUUAAUUACGACUACUUCGAAAAAUACUGAAUAUGUAACUCUAUAAUCGCGUAUUUCUCGUAAACAGCAUAACGAAACCAAUGUAAAAGUUUCAACUAAAUCAAAGACACGAGGAGGCAACCUUACACUCUCCUUUUCAGUUGAAUAUUACUGAAACACUUACACAAUUCCCCCUUAGCGAUAUGUUUUAUGUAAUUGAACUACUGAACGCUUGCAAAACUUUAAUCGCAAAUAUCUUAAAAACGGAGGCUCGUACUGAAAAACCCUAUUAGGAUUUUGCAACGCUCAACAUGCGCUAUAAUUUGCACCUAGUCAUUCUAACAACGAUUUUCGUAGCCGUCCCUUCUCCGUAUUAACUACGCGUGUUAUUUGAGACGAAAAUUAUAAGAAUAUCUAUAACGUUCGAAGCACUCCGGAAUAAUUCCCAUAGUAAUUAAAAAAUUCUUCGAUCGAGAGAAGAUGAGAAAUAUAAGACGAUCUUAAAUUUUCAAAGACGUUCGAUGAACACAAAAAGUUGGUAGGAUCGUUGGAGCAAAGAGAAACAUGGAGUCCCGAGUGUAACGCGCCUCUCUCAUUAUCGUCUUCCCCAAUGCAUGACGCUAUGCUUGAUGCACUGUUAUUGCCGUGUAUCGUAUACACGGCCCUGGCAUAAUGACUGUAACCCGCCGCAUAAUCCUGUACUCCUCCCUUUGUCGUCGUACGCCUCGAAACACACCGAGGCACUUGAAUCGAUGAAUGUUAAUCCGUGUCAAAGAGCACUUACCGCGGAAGCGUUCGGGUAUUUCGCGGCUUGAUAUCGCGAACACAUCGUCAUCCGUAGACGUUUCCGUAGCCGUGGAUGCUGCUGCGAGUAAUUGCAUCGAGGAUCGGUUUAAUCGCGGAAAGCACGGUUUGUUCGUCGAAAGGGGUAAGAAUGAACAAUGUAAAUAGGAAUUGUGACGCCUAUGGAAGAUAUCUUCUUUUCCUCCGAGCUAAUGAGUGAUAAGUGCAAGCAAAUAGGACGUAUCUUUGUAUAAUUCAUUGCAACAUUUCAUUUGUAAUCUCUCUUAUCACUUUAUGUUAUUGAAUACUAACUGUAAGUACGCAUCUGUUUAGGAGACAGCAACGAACCCUUUUCCUCGCUACACAUUUUCGUCAUUCACGCGUACGUUGCAACCACAGACGAAUGUACUGAUAUAAGAUGAAAGCGUCUUCCUCGUCGUUCGACGUUUUAAUAAUGAGACAAAAUAUAUCUUACUGUACGCUUCGUAGACUGAACAUCGGUGUAAACGUUCACACCUGUCGUCACACCUAAUGGGCCACCCUUAUGCUUUUACGAAGCGACGUUUCGUGGACAGCGAGUCUUAAGGAUGGCAGAAUAAUUUUUUGCUUCGUUGGAAAAGAGCAUAAAAAUACUCACAAGUAUAAUUUUCUUACGUACAUCGUCAGAGUACUACUAUCAGAUAAGGUUAAGAUUAAGGACAUAAAAUAAAAGUGAAAAGAAGAGAGAUAUUCGAAAGCUGGAAAAGUUAGUAGAAACUAGUAGAAUAUCUAUGUGCGCACGGAAAAGGGGGAAUCAGUCUCCUAAGAGGAUGAAGAAAUAAAUUUCUAUAAAGCAUCGAUAAAUGCCAAUCUCGCGAUAAGCAAGAAACGAAUAUUCUUCGUAACAACGAUAAUCCGCCGUUCGAUCGACAUGCGCACGCUCAUAAAAUUUUAUCGCGCUGUUAUAUCCUCCUGUGUCUAUAGAUGUUCCACGUUGUUCAUUAUACAGCAUGUUUUCAUAAUCGAUACGCUUCUUAUCAAUGUAC